UGCAAGUCGAACGAAGCACUGUAAACGGAGAUUCGUCGAAGUUUACUUUGACUUAGUGGCGGACGGGCGAGUAAUGUAUGAGCAACCUGCCUUUCAGUGGGGGACAACAGUUGGAAACGACUGCUAAUACCGCAUGAUGUCAAUUGGGGGCAUCCCCGAAUGACCAAAGGAUUUAUUCGCUGAAAGAUGGGCUCAUAUCUGAUUAGCUAGUUGGUGAGGUAACGGCUCACCAAGGCUGCGAUCAGUAGCCGGACUGAGAGGUUGAACGGCCACAUUGGGACUGAGAUACGGCCCAGACUCCUACGGGAGGCAGCAGUGGGGAAUAUUGGGCAAUGGGCGAAAGCCUGACCCAGCAACGCCGCGUGAAGGAAGAAGGUCUUCGGAUUGUAAACUUCUUUUAUGAGGGACGAAGGACGUGACGGUACCUCAUGAAUAAGCCACGGCUAACUACGUGCCAGCAGCCGCGGUAAUACGUAGGUGGCAAGCGUUAUCCGGAUUUACUGGGUGUAAAGGGCGCGUAGGCGGGGAUGCAAGUCAGAUGUGAAAUCUAUGGGCUUAACCCAUAAACUGCAUUUGAAACUGUAUCUCUUGAGUGCUGGAGAGGUAGACGGAAUUCCUUGUGUAGCGGUGAAAUGCGUAGAUAUAAGGAAGAACACCAGUGGCGAAGGCGGUCUACUGGACAGUAACUGACGCUGAGGCGCGAGAGCGUGGGGAGCAAACAGGAUUAGAUACC
rnacentral:rRNA from 1 species